rnacentral:rRNA from 1 species
UACGUAGGGUGCAAGCGUUACUCGGAAUUACUGGGCGUAAAGCGUGCGCAGGCGGUGAUGUAAGACAGAUGUGAAAUCCCCGGGCUCAACCUGGGAACUGCAUUUGUGACUGCAUCGCUGGAGUGCGGCAGAGGGGGAUGGAAUUCCGCGUGUAGCAGUGAAAUGCGUAGAUAUGCGGAGGAACACCGAUGGCGAAGGCAAUCCCCUGGGCCUGCACUGACGCUGAGGCGCGAAAGCGUGGGGAGCAAACAGG